AAGUAAGUAUUAUGAAGUCUCUAUUAGCUCAAAUGACCUGCUGAAUCCUUGUUUGCUUGAUCACUGGAUCUCGAUGUGCUAUAAAACAUGGCGGCCUAUAGUUCUGACUUUAAACACCGUUUCUCCAAUCUGGGGCAGAGUUAGGUAUGAAUAUGAAACCAAUGAAGCUAAAUUGUCUGUUGUUUCUUGUACUGACUCUUUUCAGAAGAAAUAUAGAUUUUUAUGAAGUUUUUU